rnacentral:snRNA from 14 species
AGACAGACAUAGCAGAGAAAUGUGAUGAAAAAAUGCGACCGGAGACGUCAGCAUUAGAUGGAUUAUCAGUCGUCAGAGUACCAUUGCACUUUCGGCUUGGUUGACCCGUAUGGCGGUCCCGAGUUGGGAUUGGCCAACAGCACAAUUUUUGCGUUUGGGGACAGCGUUCGCGCUUCCCCGCC